rnacentral:rRNA from 1 species
AUUGAACGCUGGCGGCAGGCUUAACACAUGCAAGUCGAACGAGUGGCGGACGGGUGAGUAAUGCUUGGGAAUCUGCCUGAUGGGGGGGGAUAACUACUGGAAAGGGUAGCUAAUACCGCAUACCAUCAGAUGAACCCAUAUGGGAUUAGCUGGUAGGUAAGGUAACGGCUUACCUAGGCGACGCUCCCUCGCUGGUCUGAGAGGAUGACCAGCCAACCUGGGACGGAGACACGGCCCAGACUCCUACGGGAGGCAGCAGUGGGGAAUAUUGCGCAAGGGGGGCAACCCUGACGCAGCCAUGCCGCGUGAAGGAAGAAGGCCUUCGGGUUGUAAAGUUCUUUCGGUAGCGAGGCGUUAACUACAGAAGAAGCACCGGCUAACUCCGUGCCAGCAGCCGCGGUAAUAC